GGAAAGGAGGGAAAGCAAGCUUGUCAGUAUCCACUGCUAAUCGACUCUAUUGAGUAUCGUCAUUCCAAGUGAAUUUUGAUGUUCUAUCUCCUGCGUCUGAAGCUCUCCUGAUACUCCUUCAGUAUUCACUGUAGUGUUGAUACCAACUAGUCUCUCAAAGAAUAUUGCCAUCUUGAAGGAAUGAUUUCACUUACUUUUCAACUUCUGGAAAUACAGGGAGAUGGCAGGGAAUAGAGAAACGGGCAAAACUUUGGAACAGUAUAGACCAGACCUGGAUUUGGAUCUCAGCUCUAACUCUGUGCCUUUGGGUAAGUCAUGUAACUCUUCUUUGUCCUAUUUCUCUUUCUGUAUAGUGAAUGGCUAAUGUUGGGGUUAAAAUAAUGAUAUAAGUAAAAACAUAAGUAGAAAUCUUUCACAGAUUUAUGAAUCCCUUCAAUAUUUACUCCAGCCCACUGAGUGAGUCAUUGUAAUGUUAUGAGACCACAGUCGCAGUAGGUGUGUUCAGUAACUCCUGCCUCUUAUUAUUGGUCCUCCAGUCCAUAUUUAGCAGCAUCUGCUGGUUUCCCUCCACUCCUGGAGGCAGAGGUUCAAAUGACGAAUGUGCUAGAAGGCAAGUGUCCUUAGAAGAAGAGGAUCACCAUGUGACAGAACUCUCCGUCUCCUUCUCUCUCUGCUCCUGCACAGAGGAGAGGUCAUGUGAGGACACAGUGAGAAGGCAGCCGUCUGCAAGCUAAGGAGAGAGGCCUCAUAAGAACUGAAUUUUCCAGCACCUUGAGUUGGAAUUCUACCCUGUAGAACAUAAAGAUUUUAGCCCAACGAUCAAAUGCAUCAACAUGAUCCCACGUGAUUGCCUCCUGCAUGAGAACAGAAAGUCGUUGCGAAAUCUGGAGAGGGAUUAUGGCAGAAAUGAGAAACAUUUCUGUAGGACUGAGCACGGGUCUGGGGACCUAGAAAGCACUGGCUAUGCAUUUAAUCAAGAACCUCCUACCCACACAUCCCCACCACAUCCUAAUUAUAUUCAUACUUGAUAUUUUACCAACUCUCCAUGCAACAGCUACCUAGGGCAUCUACUCCCUGGUUAGGCAAAAACAAACAAAACCCCAAAACAACAGCAACAACAAAAAAAGGAAACAAACACUUCUUUUGAGUAUGCUUUCUUAUUCAAAUUAGUUUCCUAAAUAAGAAUGUGUGAAUCUGCAAUGUAGGCCAGCGCAUUGAAUAAAAAUGAUUAUG